AAUGACUUCUUGUGUCUGAGGACAGAGAAGGAAUGGUGAACGUGUGUACUUGGAUCACCUAGUCCCCACCAACUGCCCCUACAUGCUUUGACACCUGAGCAAAAAGAAAUAGGAAGGUCUGAACCACAUGUAGGCGAAAUCAUUAAGAAAAAGGAAUGCAGGGCCAGAUUCAGAAGAUGGGCAAGGAGAGAUGCUGACGCUGGGAACAAGUCGUGCUAAAUUGGUUUCAACCAUGAGAUCUCGCAGGGAUGGUCUUUUGGACAGAAGGUGCCAGACUUGCAACGACACUGGGUGUUCCGGGUGGCGUUACACGGCAUUACCUCUUCCUGG